CGAUCCACAUCUUUGUAAAAUCCUCUUAUGUAAUGGGAUACAAAGCCUUUUACUUGUGUUCAAUAGGGGUGUAAACGAGCCGAGCCGAACCGAGUGAGCCAAGGCUUGAGCUCGGGCUCGAACAGAAAUGAGCCGAGCCAACUUGGCUUGGAAAAAAUCAAACGAGCUGAAUGUAUAGGCUCGAGCUUGGAUCGAAGAAAUCUCGAGCCAGCUCGAAGCUCGUUAAGCUAGCUCGCAAAAAUUGUAUUUUUUUUUAAUUUAAACCAAUUGACCACCCAACUAAAAUGGCCUAUGGGUAUAAAAGGUUUAAAUAGCCAAAAGGGUCAACUUGGACUAGUAAUUUUUAACUUAAGGGGUUCUUCGUUUAUAGAUAGUCUCCCCUCUAUAUUCUUGUUUCUAAUAGCGAGGUGGGACAAAGUUUUAAUCCAAUCCUGCCUCUUCUUUUAUAGCUAAUCCAACCUUUUCAUAUAUUAAUUCAAGGUCGAUGCGGGACUCCUUUUUUAAACCAAACCUGCAUAUUAAUUUGUUGCACAUCCAUGGAUGUACAGUUUUGAACUUUCUUAUGUUUAGUUAAAUGCAAGCUGAGACUUGUUAGUAUCAAAAUUUUCACAUAACUUAUUUAAUAGUAUAUCAAUGUGGCAAAUAAAUCAAGCUUUUUUUUUUUUUGAACGGCAAACAUUACAUAAACACUCCUCCUAAAUUACAUCAAUUCUACCCCAUGCCAGGAUUUGAACCCUGGUCUCUCCCCAAGAGGCGCAAAGCCUCUACCACCCCACCAAAGUGGUGAUGGCAAAUCAAGCUAUUAAUAUGGAAAAAUAUGGUCUAUGAGUGGUUGAAUGCUACUACAAAGAUAAACGGUAAUUAAAUCUAUAAUACUAUAUAAAGGAAAUGUAACGUACAGAAUUGUAAUUUUACAUCGUAUACAACUUUUAAGCAAUAAGUACAAAGGAUUGCAACACAGUUAAGAAGGAUAGAAUAGGAAAUACACCAAUAUUUUAAGACACUCUAAGGGUAAGAUAGUAAAUUUAUCUAUACAAUUUUAAUGUUAUUCCACCUUUACCCUUUUUGACUCUUCCGUGGUUCCCAUCACAAAACCUCUUAUUCAAUGUCCAAUUCAACGUUGCCAUGGAAGCAUCUCCCCUUAAAUUGGGAUUUAAGGGUUCAAAAACUAUAUCCACAAUCAUUCAAAACAAGCGUCUCUUUGUUUCCCCUGAACUGAAAGAGUGGGAGGCACCAAAUAGAAAACUAACCUAAAUGGAUUCUCAAUCGAUCUAAAAAUUGAAGAUGCACCAGAUGCUCUGUACCGUUGCCGAGAUCUCGACAGAUCUGGGUUUCGUAUUUGGCCGAUCAUUAACAAUGUUCAAGAUGUGGUGGUUCUUCAAGCCGAAUCCAACUGAAAGCGUCGGCUCUCCCAAAUGAAGGAUCUGAUACACCUAGCUUCAAAAAAGUCUUGCUGUUGAAACCAUCCAUAACUGGCUACACGGUCUCUGUGGAACAAAAUGAGCUUACUUUUAAGCCGGAGAUAGCUGGUAAUGACAUGGUUGCUAAUGAAACCUCUUGCCUGUUGGCUGGUCUCCGUGAAAAAAUGCCCUGUUUUGACUGGUGAUAACUCUUGUUCGUCAACCGACCUUUGUGAAAAAUGUCCUAUCUUGAUUGCAGAGUUACCAACCGCGAAGGCAUCCCAAAAGAAUUUUAUAGAGUGGGGAAAGGAUCAAGUUUAUCAGCUUUCUGAGAAAAACCAAUGGUUUAUAGAAGAGGUUCUGAAAGAGAGUUUGGUCGAAGACAUUGAGAAAUUGUUUGAGAUGAUUGAUUGGGAGAAGUUGUUGCUUAUGUUACCUUUUUACCAGCCUAACAACCCAGUAACCAUUGGAGUCAAAUUCUGUGUGCCUGUUAUCUUCUUCAUUUUGAAGUACAAAAAGUUGUCCUCAAUGAAAGGUGUUGAGAAGAAAAAAGAGUAAACAAGAAAGACGUAAAUAAUAAAUAGUAUCAAGUAUAUGUUUUCGUUAGAAACUUACUGCCACAGUGACAUUCAGUGAAAAAGUAAAUAAAUAGUAUGAAGUAUAUGUUUUGGUUAGAAACUUACUGCCACAGCGACAUUGAGUGAAAAAGUAAAUGUUGGAGGUACAACAUGUUAAAACGUUACUUAGGAUGCUUUGCACAGUAAAAAGUUGUCUAUUCUGAUUCGAAAUAUUCUAUGACAACAUAUAGUCUGUAGAGUUUAUUGUUGAAACAAGAUUACAAGAUUAACUGAA